rnacentral:rRNA from 1 species
GUAGGGGGCGAACGUUGCUCGGAAUUACUGGGCGUAAAGGGUGUGUAGGUGGCUGAGCAAGUCGUUGAUGAAAUCCCGAGGCUCACCCUCGGAACUGUCUUCGAAACUGCUCAGCUUGAGGAUAGUUGAGGAGAACGGAAUUCCCGGUGGAGCGGUGAAAUGCGUAGAUAUCGGGAGGAACACCAGAGGCGAAGGCGGUUCUCUGGGCUAUUCCUGACACUGAAACACGAAAGCUAGGGGAGCAAACGGGGAUUAGAUACCCCGGUAGUCCUAGCCGUAAACGAUGGGCACUAGAUGUUUCUACUUUGAUGUAGGGGUGUCGAAGCUAACGCGUUAAGUGCCCCGCCUGGGGAGUACGGUCGCAAGGCUG